AAAGCCUUCCCCCACCUAAUCUAACUUAUGCUAAUUUUCUCCUUUCUCAGAGCCUCUCCUAGCAUUUAUGACCUCUGGUAUGUAUUUUGACAUGUUUCCUUACUAUUAAACGUUAUUACUGAUCUUAUCAUGGGUGUAUGUCUGGACAAAAAUAAGACCAUUUUACAUUUAUUUUGCAUCCUCUACAGCACCUGGUAGACACUGUGUGUAUGUUAAGCACAUAAUCAGCACCCGUGGACUGAAUUUGCCCACUUGUUUCCUAGUGCCUUUCAAAGACAACCUGGUUUUGCCUUUUCCUUUCCAUUCAGGAGCUAAUUCUAUCCUCACGUGUCUGUCCUACCAAUACAGCUGUCUCUCCCUAAUAGAGGGUCCAGGGCCCCCAUUUAUCCUGUUCUCUUUGCAGCACUUUGUAGCAGAUCAGCUGUGUUUCCACAUUUGCUCUUUGUUUUCUUACAGUGGGCUACUUAAAUAGUCCAUAACUUCUGCUCCAUACAGGCACGGGCUGCAGAACAAGAGGCCUGUUGGAAUUGCCAUAACCAAAGAGAUUGUGUAUAUUGUGGGGGCUGGGGAGUGGGUAGAAACUCAAGAAAGCAGUAUGGUGAAGGGUUUUGGUGUCUGGUAUACACGCAGGCUCUGGGACAGUUUUGGAGAUAGGUCUGGAAAUUGGGUAUAUGUGACGGAGAUGUAUGGCCAAAGGCAAUUUCAUAAACAACUAUAAAGUCAACAAACCCACAAAUUUGCUUUUAGAGCUAAAGUUAAUAUUAUGCAGUUCAGUCUCUCUUUUUUACACACAAGAAAACUAAGGUCCAAAGAGGUACUUGCAAAUAGUAGAUAAUAAAUAUUAGCUGAUUGCAAAUAAUCUAAUCAAGUCAGUCUUUAGACAGAUUCAUUCUUUAUGGUAUUUAAUGUCAGAACGAACUAGUCUUGGUUUUAGUCAGCAAUUCAAGACUAAAUCAUACUUGUCAGCAUGAUAACUAAACAGGACCCAUCAAGGGAAUCUGGCUUUGCUGACACCUUGAUUUCAGACCAGUGAACCUGACUUAGGACAUCUGACCUCCAGAACUAUAAGAAAAUAAAUGUGUGUUGUUUUAAGCCAUCAAGCUUCCUGUAACUUGUUACAGCAGCCCUAGAAAAUAUACAGUGACCUUAGAGAUUCUUCAAGUAAAGGUAAACUUCAGUAAUAUCUUUAUCUCAAUAGCACUGGAAAAUCAGAUAAGCCAUAUUAAUUAUGUUUUUUAAUGUUAUCAGAUGUGGGCCACCAGCCUUAAGCCAGAGGGAGCUUUGUAAGACAGGAACAUAUAAAAUGAUAAAAGCUUCUCUACGUACAGUUUUCCUGACUCUGAUUCUGCGUGGGACAACCAGUGAAAAUUGCAGGUGAAGAGAAGAAAUGUGUAUUUAUUCCUCCACUGGGAAAAAAAAUACCAUCCAAAGCUACAUGACUUGAGAGACAAGGUCUCACUAUGUUGCCCAGGCUGGCCUCGAACUCCCGGGCUUCAGCAAUCCUCCUGCCUCACCCUCCCAGGUAGCUAGGACUACAGGACCGCGACCCGGCGCUGCCUAAGAACUGUUUUUAAACGUGAAAGCCACGACUAUCAUUUGCUUUUUGCUCUGCUCUUCAUCUUCUGGAUAAACCUCGUAACACACUGCUUGUUUUGGGCUCAGUGGUAGUCUGCUGCCUACGCCCCGUCAGACAAGUGGCCUGAGUUCCCCGCAACCCCUGCAGGUCCGGCCGCCCGCGCCAAGCCUCAAGGCAUCCAAGCCAGGAACGAUCGCGGUCAGCUCUGCCACGGAACAUGUGCAAGACCCGGCAGCAGGUUCCGGGGGAGGCGAAUUGAUUUCACAACGGUCGAGAAGGAGGACCCCGCCCACUUCGUCAUUUCUCGGAAGCCCAGGGGACUCGCCGGAAGAGCGGCUCAAAAGCCGGAAAACCGGCAAUUCCGAGUCUCCCGGCGCAUGCGCGGCGCAAUCGGCUUCGCGUGGUUGCAGUAGAGAGGAUCCCUCCGCCAGCCACUGCAUCCGGCGGCCGGAUCUAACUUACCCGCUAGCGUUUUACCCUUGCGCGGCCGUGGCGUAGGCGGUCUUUUCCCUUGGUCCCCCGCGGCGCCGCCUCUUGUGACGUAAGCCGCAGAAUCCUCUGUCUUAGUUCGGCUCUAUUGCCGCAAGCUUGACUCUUCCUGGGUCUGAGGAAAAGUAAAAGUAAUUUUGUCAUUUCGUGAAACUUCAAGUUAAACCUUUAAGCUGUUCAUUUCCUAAAAGGGUGAAAACGCGGGCACCCCUCGAGCUAGUUCAUCGCCUUUUAACCUGUGAGUUCUGUUAAAAGGAAGUAACUGCAAAAUGUGUUCGCUGUUAGGUUUCUUUGGAAGUUUUGGGUUGUGUUCAUGCGUUCUCUCGGCGUGUGAACUGGGAGAAAGUGGAGUGCCAGCCAUAUGAAAUGACAACUGUAUAUGGAGGCUGGGAGGUAUAAUGCCCAUUCUGGCUUGAUGAAAUUAAUGAAAUUUUAAUUAAGUUUAAUUUUCAUUUGAAUUACCCAGGAAUAGCAUCUUGAAAAGCGGGGCGUAAAAAGCAGUUAAAGAGCUUCGAGAAACGGUUACUCGUUUUGUAAACUAAAGACCAAAUGAAAAUCCAACUGCACUAGAAAAGAAAGAAACUUAUAAGGGCCGAAGGUUUUGUCUGCAAUUUACAGCUAAUUAGUCUCAAAGAUUUCUGUGAUUUGCCCAAGAGAGGUGGAGUUGGGGCCACUGCUUUCCCCAGGACACCGCCGCGGCCCGCUUGAAUACUGCCGCCGUUAGGACCCGCCGUACCUGGCCGUCCAGGGCCUCUUCUUGUCUUCCACUCUCACUUGUCUUUUCUCCCCUUUCCAUGUUUUUGGUUCCUUUCCUGAGUUUCCCUUAUCUCCACUCCCCUCCCCCUUUGCUUCCUCUAUCUCUUUAACUUCUGUUUUCUUGAUGGUGGAGCCAACUUUAGUUUCCCUUAAAAGGCCAUAAAAGGAAAUAGAAUAAUUUUAAAAAUGUCUUUUCAUAAGGCUUGUUUUCUUGUCUUAAGCCUGUUUUUUGGUGGGGGGUGAAAAAGUUCAUAUGCAGAUAGACAUAAAACUUCUUUUGGUAAAAGCUGCCCUCUAUUUUCUUCCAUAGCUGUCCUGUGAAAGUAGGAGUGUGUGUGAAUGGUGAAGCAAAGAGAGGGAGACAUGGGGUCAGUAGAAGAGGGAGCACAGCGUGUGUAAGGAGUUAAUUAGAACCAGAGGGCCUGGGUCUGUGGCUCAUGCCUGUAAUUCCAGCACUUUGGGAGGCUGAGGCGGAGGACCCUUUGCACCACUGCACUCCAGCCUGAGCAACAGAGUGAGACCCAGUCUCAGAACAAAAAAACAGAAAAACAGGAGAAAAACCAUCCAUAUAAGCAGAGAGGUACUUAAAAUGUUGCAAAACUAAAUUCCAAAUAACGUCUGUGGAUUCUACAAAAUCUAGGAAAUACACUUUUCCAAUAAAUCUUUGUACAUUCAUCUGUAAUGCAUUUCCUUAGGUGAUUUGAGUCCUUUAGGAGUAAAUCUGUAUCUUUAGCUGUCCCAGAAGUAAUCACAGGCGUUCAUUGUCUAUUCAAUGACAAAGUAUUGUGAACUAUUCUAUGAAAUAAUAAAAUAUCAGUGUUUUCAGAGUACAUGGCCUUUUCAGUAGCCUUUUCAGUGUGUUGGCACCUGUUCCCAGUUCUGCCAGUGGAUAUUGUUAUCUUUGAUCUACAAUUGGGAAGCUAAAACCCAGAAAGUUACUUGUCUAAGACUAUACACCUCCAAGAAGGCAGAACUGUGGCUGCUAUUUCCAACUUUCUAGUCUCUGAACAUGUAAUAAAGAACUGAUUUCCAAUUUACAAUGAAUAAUAGAAUUUACUAUAACAACUGACCAAAGUGUGCUGUUUUAUUACCAAUUUCUCUCUCUCUCUCUCUCUCUCUCUUUCUUUUGUGACAUAGUCUCGCUCUGUUGCCCAAGCUGGGGUGCAGUGGUGAGGUCUCGGCUGACUGCAACGUCCGCCUCCGAGGUUCAAGCGAUUCUAACUGCGUCAGACUCCCCAGUAGCUGUGACUACAGGCAGGCGCCACUACACCUGGCUAAUUUUUGUAUUUUUAGUAGAGAUGGGGGCUCACCAUGUUGGUCAGGCUGGUCCCAAAUUCCUUGCCUCAAGUGAUUUGCCCUCCUCGGCCUCCCAAAGUGUUGGGAUUACAGGUGUGAGCCACUGUGCCCACCCCAAUUUGCUUCUUUGGUGUUUGUAAUUCUGCUUGGUCAACAGUAACUUGCAGAAAUUGAUUGGAACAUAUAUUUUGAUAAAGUAUUUGAAGGUAUUCCUGAAGUUUGAUUUAUGUUUCAGCUGCCUAUACUGAAAGAAAAUAAACUGCUGUGUAUUCCAUAAUUUAAAAAUAAUUGUUCAUUUUAGUGACAUUUUGUAGUUGGAUAGUGGAGACAAAAGAUGAUACUCUGUGUGAUCUUCAAUCUAAACAUUUAUGUUAGGACAAAUUAUUCCCAUAUCUGUAUAAUGCUAUAUUUCUGCCCUGACCUCUACAAAUCACAGAAGCACCAUUAUUCGAUCUUGUUCUCUUUUUCAAAAAAUUCUACCUUCCAAGGUGGUGGUUCUUUAAGUUUAUAAGUGAACCAUAAAGUAGUUGGAAACCUGGAUCCCAGGAUGGUAGAAACAUGAAGCUUGUUUAUUCCAAGGACAGUUUUAUAUAUGUAUAGGACUUUAUUAUCCUUACUGUAUACAGCAUUUUAAUGGGGAGGGGGAACCAGGAGCAUUGUUGGGGGUUAAUUUAAUUUUUGUAGUUUUAAAAUACAAACGAAUGAUUGUA